rnacentral:tRNA from 1 species
AAGACACUAGUAAAACUAGUUAUUACGCCGCCUUGUCGAGGCGAAGUUGUGGGUUAAACCCCCGCGUGUCUUG